rnacentral:lncRNA from 12 species
AUCUCCACCACUUACCAUGAAGCCUCCAUGUGCUUGGUGAGUCCAGAACCUUCCUGAAGUCACCCCAUCUUCUUGGAGGUUGGCCACACUGCUGCUGUGUCUCUGAGCUGCCUGCCCUCUGAGAUGAGGACUUGCUCUCACGUGGCUGCUGAGCCUCAACAUCCUUACCUGAUGCUCCGGGGACCCACCAUUAUCCCAUAGUGACUUUGGCUGGUGUAGAAUGAUUAUGAUUUUAUGUCUUCAGCGGUACCUAAGCAUUGACCUGUCCAACUCAAUGCCAGGCUCACUGGCCCACGCUGGCAGGGAGGGAGGCAUGCUCCAUGUUUCGGAUUCCCUGUGAUCUAUCUGGAACAAGAUUGCCCCAGGACAGCUGGUUAGCUGCUGUGGCUUAUCCUGUGGCCCUGAGAGAGAUCCCAAGAGCACCAUGGAGGUGCUGGCCUGGACCCAUGACGUGGUGAACUAUGAAACCAGUUCCAGAACAGCACCACUGACCUUGCUGCAUGGGGAAGACAAAUCCACAUUGACCAGGUCAUUCUUAGUCUGUUGCUUGUAAACAAAAAUCUUACCUGAUACAGAUAGGGAAGCCCAUUUUCAUGCAGACACGUAUUGCUUGGUCUGCUCUGUGGCAAAUGGAAUUACUAUUAAUCUGUUCCAACCACCGUCACCACCACUAAUGGCAUCCACAUUUACUGAGCCCUUUAUAAACUUGUGCUUUAUAGUUUCAUUUAAAAUUGGCCCUUCCAGAUACUUAUUAUUAGCCCCAUUUUGUAGAUAAGAAAAUCAAGUCCAGAAACGUUCAGUCAUUUGCCCCAGGUGUAAUAAGAAGUAGAAUUGACCUAUGCAAUGUGAAUUCUUUUCCACUGAGUCUAGAUAGACAUUUUUUUUCUAGAUAGACAUUUAAAGUACAGCAUGUAGGGCCUCUGGCUGGCUCAGUCAGUGGUGCUUGUGACUCUUUAUCUCAAGAUUGUGAGUUUGAGCCCCUUGUUGGGUGUAGAGAUUACUUAGAAAUUUAAUUUAACUUAAUUUAAUUAAAAAAAAAAAAGGCAACUGGAUGGCUCAGUGAGUUGAGCAUCAAACUCUUGAUUUGGCUCAGGUCUUGAUUUCAGGGUCUUAAGUCCAAGCCUCGUGUUGGGCUCCAGGCUGGGCAUCGAGCUUACUUUAUAAAUAGUAAAUAAGCAAACACAUAAACAAAAAUUAAGUACAGCAUAGGUUUUAAGGCAAUUUUUGAAAACUGGUAAGCUACGUGUCUUGUUCAUACAUAAUAGCAUUCAUUUGACCAUCGUAUUUACAUGGAUUGAUACAUCUAUUUUCACAUUAUUUUGAAUAGCAAUUUAUUAGAAUUAAUUUGCAAGAUUUCCCAAUACCUGGAGUAAUAAAGAUUGCCAAGAGUCGGGGUGGCUCA